UCCUAGAGGAUUAGGUUUUUAAUGUUUUUAAUUAAUUUAAUAAAAAUAAUUUUGGUUUUAUUCUAGCUUAUAAAGUAAGUUGUUUAUUAUUUAUUAUGUGAAUUUUGAUUAAAUAUUUAUUUUGCAGUUAUUAUUAUUGUAUAUUAUGGUAUUAUAGAUUCAGUAAUUAAUUAUAGUACAGGUUAAAUUUGUGCCAGCAUCCGCGGUUAUACAAUUUGUAUUAUUUACUUUUUUUGACUUGAGGUUAUAUAUAAUAAUUUUUUUGUUAUUUAGAACAAUUUAAGGUGAAAUUUUAUUUGUUCUUUGAUUAUUUAUUUGUUUUAGAAGCCUUGAAAUUUAAAUUUUAAACUAGGAUUAGAUACCCUAUUAUUUUUAAUGUAAAUUUGAGUUUUAUUAUUAAUAGAUUUGAUCUUUAAAAUAAAAGAUUUUGGCGGUAUUUUAGUCUUUUCAGAGGAACCUGUCUUUUGAUUGAUAGUCCACGAUUUACUUUACUUAUACUAGAAGUUUGUAUAUCGUUGUGGUUGAAUUUCUUAUAAGAGAUUUAAUUUUUAAUGUUUUGAUUUAAAAAUGAAUUCAGAUCAAGGUGCAGUUUAUGUAUAAGUUAAGAUGGGUUACAAUAAAUUUAUUUAUAAUGGAUUAAUAGUGUAAAUUUUAUUAUGAAGGUGGAUUUGAAAGUAAUUUAAUUAAUAUUUUUUUUAUGAUUAAGCUCUAAGAUAUGCACAUAUCGCCCGUCGCUCUCAUAUUUGAGAUAAGUCGUAACAUAGUAGGCUUAUUGGAAAUGAGCCUGGAUUGA
rnacentral:ncRNA from 1 species